AGCGUAGACGGCUGUGCAAGUCUGAAGUGAAAGGCAUGGGCUCAACCUGUGGACUGCUUUGGAAACUGUGCAGCUAGAGUGUCGGAGAGGUAAGUGGAAUUCCUAGUGUAGCGGUGAAAUGCGUAGAUAUUAGGAGGAACACCAGUGGCGAAGGCGGCUUACUGGACGAUGACUGACGUUGAGGCUCGAAGCGUGGGAGCAAACA
rnacentral:rRNA from 1 species